rnacentral:ncRNA from 1 species
CUGCUUACUCUGACCCAGUAGCAUGGGGCCGUGGAAUCCCGUGUGAAUCAGCAAGGACCACCUUUCAAGGCUAAAUACUCCUGGGUGACCGAUAGCGAAGUAGUACCGUGAGGGAAAGGUGAAAAGAACCCCCAGUGGGUAGUGAAAUAGAACGUGAAACCGUGCUGAGCUCCCAAGCAGUGGGAGGGGAAAGUGAUCUCUGACC